ensembl:lncRNA
NNNNNNNNNNNNNNNNNNNNNNNNNNNNNNNNNNNNNNNNNNNNNNNNNNNNNNNNNNNUCAAGAGGGACGUGGGAGCAGGGGGGACAUGGCCGCGUGGGGACAUCGGUGGGGACGUGGCAGCAUGGGGACAUCAAGAGGGACGUGGGAGCAGGGGGACGCGGCCGCGUGGGGACAUCGGUGGGGACGGGGGACGAGGCAGCGUGGGGAAGCUGCGGGGCACACGGGGACACGGCAGGGGACGGGGACACCGCAGCGCGGGAGCACGGCAGCUUGGGGACGCUGCAGGGCAUGAGGUUGGGGACAGGGACACGGUGGCAUGGGGGGCACAGCAGUGUGGGGACAUCGCAGGGGACGCGGUUGGGGACGCCAUGGGUGAUGGGGUUGGGGACGGCCACACAGGGACACUACGGGGGGGACACGGCAGCAUGGGGACGCAGCUGGGGACGGGGACAUGGCAGCACAGGGACGCUAGGGGGGGACGUGGCAGCGCGAGGACGCGGCAGGGAACGAGGACACGGCCGCACRGGGACGCCACAGGGACAUGGCAGGGGACGGGGACACGGUCACACGAGGACACCGCAGGGCACGGGGACAUGGCCAGACAGGGACACCGUGGGGGACACGGCCACACGGGGAUGCUGUGGGGACAUGGCAGGGGACAGGGACACGGCCAGACAAGGACACUGUGGGGGGACACGGCCACAUGGGGAUGCGGCAGGGGACAGGGACAUGGCCAGACAGGGACACCGUGGGGGGACACGGCCACACGGGGAUGCUGUGGGGACACGGCAGGGGAUGGGGACGCGGUCACACGAGGACACCGCAGGGCACGGGGACACGGCCAGACAGGGACACCAUGGGGGACACGGCCACAUGGGGACACCACAGGGACAUGGCAGGGGACAGGGACACAGCCAGACAGGGACACCGUGGGGGGACACGGCCAUGUGGGGACACCGCAGGGACAUGGCAGGGGAUGGGGACGCGGUCACACGAGGACACUGCAGGGCACGGGGACACGGCCAGACAGGGACACCGUGGGGAUGUGGCAGGGGACAGGGACAUGGCCAGACAGGGACACCGUGGGGGACACGGCCACACGGGGAUGCUGUGGGGGGACACGGCCACAUGGGGACACCACAGGGACACGGCAGGGGACAGGGACACGGCCAGACAGGGACGCUAGGGGGGGACAUGGCCACAUGGGGACACUGCAGGGACACGGCAGGGGAUGGGGAUGCAGUCACACGAGGACACCGCAGGGCACGGACACGGCCAGACAGGGACACCGUGGGGGGACACGGCCACGUGGGGACGCAGCUGGGGAUGGGACACGGCCAGCGCGAGGACGCCGUGGGGGGACAACGGCCACAGGGGGACACCGUGGGGACACGGUCACAUGGGGACGCCGUGGGGACGCGGCAGGGGACAGGGACAUGGCCAGACAGGGACACCGUGGCAGACACGGCCACACGGGGACACUGUGGGGACGCCGCAGGGACGCCACGGGGGACAUGGCCGCACAGGGACACUGUGGGGACACCAUGGGGGACAUGGCCGCGUGGGGACACGGCAGGGGACGGGGACGCGGGCGCGCGGGGACGCCGCGGGGACGCCGAGGGGGACGCGGGCGCGCAGGGGGGGACGCCGCGGGGACGCCGGGGUGGCCGCGGCGGUGGCACCUGGAUGUCGUUGUGCGGGUUCCAGUCGGAGUCGAAGAUGACGACGGUGUCGGCGGUGGCCAGGUUGAUGCCGAGGCCGCCGGCGCGCGUCGACAGCAGGAAGCAGAACUGCUGCGCCCCGGGCGCUGCGGCACC